GUUGACAAUAUCGAAAAAUAUCGAUACAUUGGAAUACAUCGUAAACAUCAAAAGUUUCUAUGGUCGUCUAAAAUAUAUCUGUCUUUCGUUGUCUUGUCUCUUAUAUCUCUAAAAUAAUCCACAACGCGAAUUCUAGCCGAUCUUAAUAUCCAGAAGUUGAUUCUGAUUAAAUAUGGGAAGAAGAAAAUCUAAAAGAAAACCUCCACCUAAAAGAAAAAAUAUUGAGCCUUUGGAUCAACAAUUUAACUGCCCAUUUUGUAAUCAUGAAAAAUCAUGUGAAGUAAAAAUGUAAUUUGGAUAAAGGACGGAACACUGCUAAAAUAACAUGUCGCGUUUGUCUAGAGGAUUUUCAAACUGGGAUAAACUUUUUGUCAGAGCCUAUUGAUGUAUAUAACGAUUGGGUGGAUGCUUGUGAAACCGCAAAUUAAAUUUAUUGUAUAAACAAUUAAAAUACAGAAAACGAUUAAAUAAUUAAGUAUGGAAAAAUA